AGUUUGAAACCUGGCUCAGGACGAACGCUGGCGGCGUGCUUAACACAUGCAAGUCGAACGAUGAACCUCCUUCGGGAGGGGAUUAGUGGCGAACGGGUGAGUAACACGUGGGCAAUCUGCCCUGCACUCUGGGACAAGCCCUGGAAACGGGGUCUAAUACCGGAUACGACACGGGAUCGCAUGGUCUCCGUGUGGAAAGCUCCGGCGGUGCAGGAUGAGCCCGCGGCCUAUCAGCUUGUUGGUGGGGUAAUGGCCUACCAAGGCGACGACGGGUAGCCGGCCUGAGAGGGCGACCGGCCACACUGGGACUGAGACACGGCCCAGACUCCUACGGGAGGCAGCAGUGGGGAAUAUUGCACAAUGGGCGAAAGCCUGAUGCAGCGACGCCGCGUGAGGGAUGACGGCCUUCGGGUUGUAAACCUCUUUCAGCAGGGAAGAAGCGAAAGUGACGGUACCUGCAGAAGAAGCGCCGGCUAACUACGUGCCAGCAGCCGCGGUAAUACGUAGGGCGCAAGCGUUGUCCGGAAUUAUUGGGCGUAAAGAGCUCGUAGGCGGCUUGUCACGUCGGAUGUGAAAGCCCGGGGCUUAACCCCGGGUCUGCAUUCGAUACGGGCAGGCUAGAGUUCGGUAGGGGAGAUCGGAAUUCCUGGUGUAGCGGUGAAAUGCGCAGAUAUCAGGAGGAACACCGGUGGCGAAGGCGGAUCUCUGGGCCGAUACUGACGCUGAGGAGCGAAAGCGUGGGGAGCGAACAGGAUUAGAUACCCUGGUAGUCCACGCCGUAAACGUUGGGAACUAGUGUGGGCGACAUUCCACGUCGUCCGUGCCGCAGCUAACGCAUUAAGUUCCCCGCCUGGGGAGUACGGCCGCAAGGCUAAAACU
rnacentral:rRNA from 1 species